rnacentral:rRNA from 1 species
GACGAACGCUGGCGGCGUGCUUAACACAUGCAAGUCGAACGGAAAGGCCCUGCUUUUGUGGGGUGCUCGAGUGGCGAACGGGUGAGUAACACGUGAGUAACCUGCCCUUGACUUUGGGAUAACUUCAGGGAACUGGGGCUAAUACCGGAUAGGAGCUCCUGCUGCAUGGUGGGGGUUGGAAAGUUUCGGCGGUUGGGGAUGGACUCGCGGCUUAUCAGCUUGUUGGUGGGGUAGUGGCUUACCAAGGCUUUGACGGGUAGCCGGCCUGAGAGGGUGACCGGCCACAUUGGGACUGAGAUACGGCCCAGACUCCUACGGGAGGCAGCAGUGGGGAAUAUUGCACAAUGGGCGGAAGCCUGAUGCAGCAACGCCGCGUGCGGGAUGACGGCCUUCGGGUUGUAAACCGCUUUCGCCUGUGACGAAGCGUGAGUGACGGUAAUGGGUAAAGAAGCACCGGCUAACUAUGUG